rnacentral:lncRNA from 10 species
CAAAUUAAUUCCUUGAUUAGUUUUCUACAUAGCACACUUAAAGUAUUUCCAAUUUUGUCAUGUGAAUAAAAUUACUAUUUAUGUUGUCAUAAAUAAACAUGAAUACAAUGUCAUGAGUAAAAAUACUAAAAUUAUUUUGAUCCGGAUGAAUUCAUUUAUGUGUAACUUAUCAACACAGUCCUGUUUUAACAGUCUUUUGUUCAAUUCAAAUUUUACUAUAACAGCUUCUACUACUGUGAGUUUUAUUUUGGGGGCAUUAUUUUUAUGGAGUUCUAUUUUCCAAGGUCAAAAUUUAUAGAUCUAAAUCUUGCCACACACAGUUUUUAUCUAUUUUCAGUUUUAUUGUAACCGCCCAAGGAUUCAUUGUGCCCACUGCCCAGAUAAAGCCGAUUCAUCAAGACAGAGGAAUUGCAAUAGAGAAAGAGUUUAAUUCAUACUCAAAUCAGUUCAGCUGCCUCUGCAUGAAUUAAACUCUUUCUGGAAAUUCAGAGAUUGGAGAGACUGACAAUUAAGAGACUGGGGUUUUUUAAGGAUAAUUUGGUGCAUAGGAGGCCAGGGACUGGGGAGUGAUGAUUGGUCCCAUUGGAGAUGAAAUCAUAGGGAGUUGAAGCUGUCUUCUUUGCGCUGAGUCAGUUCCUGAGUGGGGGCCACAGUACCAGAUAAGCCACUUUAUCCAUCUGCGUGGUGGCAGCUGACCCAUCAAGUUCAGGGUCUGAAAAAUAUUCUGAGCACCAAUCUUAGAUUUUACAAUAGUGAUGUCAUCCCUAUUGUAAAUGGGGAGGUUUGGAAUCUGUGACCUCUCGCUGCCUAACUCCUAAACCAUAAUUUCUAAACUUGUGGCUAAUUUGUUAGUCCUAUAAAGCAAGAAGAGGGUUUGUUUCAGGAAAGAGCUGUUAUCAUCUUUGUUUCAAAGUUGAAACUAUAAACUAAGUUCCUCCCAAAGUUAGUUUGGCCUAUGCCCAGGAAUGAACGAGGACAGGUUGGAGGUUGGAAGCAAGAUGGAGUCACUUAGGUCAGAUCUCUUUCACUGUCAUAAUUUUCUCACUGUUACAAUUUUUGCAAAGGUGGUUUCAUUAUUUUAUAUUAUUUCUAGUUUUUUAAAUUAGUUCUGUUAUAGUUAGUAUUUAUUUCUUAGCUAAUUCAUGAUAAAAUUGUUAAAUCUCUCAGUAUUGGUCUCUUGCCCAGAAUCAUCUGUUACAAAGCCAAUUUAAUUCUUCUUAUUAUUUUUUGGACCUUGUAUAAACUGUCCACGACACUUGUGGCCCAAAGCGCAAAUAUGCAGAUAAAAGAGAUUGCCUCUAAAAAAAUAAAGCUGCUUUCUCUAAAAGAAAGGGGAAAAUGCUAGGUUUGGGGGGGAAGGCUUUCUUGAGAAGAUAGCAUAUGAUCCGCAUCACAAAAGACGAGAAAGAAUUCACCAGGUGCCCAUAGAGUCAAAGAACAUUCCAUAGAAAAAGCAAGUGUUAAAAACAUGGAGGCAGGGAGAGGAGAACACAUCAUAGCACCAAAUAAAAACUGAAUGAACAAAUACAUCAUCACUUCUAAUAUGAGGUUAUAGAAAGUAAAGACAAAUGGAUGGGUUUGUGUAUGGUAAAUAGUAACUGGAUUGUAGGAUACAUGGGAAGGGUGAAGGAGGUUUUAAAUAAGAACAUGAAGGGCUAUGGAGAUGAGUGAGUGGACGAUGACAUUCAGGCUCCCACUUAAAUGAGUGGAUGUACCUUGAUGCUGUUAAACAAGAAAGAAAACACAGAAGGACAUGAAGGCAACUGUCCAUUCGUUGCUCUUGGACCAUCUUGCCUUGAAAGAUCUGACACACUGGAAUCUGUUUUUUUUCCAAAGACCCCAGGAAAGAUUUUUCACUGCUCCUUUGUUCAGUCAUUUUGAUGCUUUCAAAUCCCUCAUUAAAAUCAGCAAAGGCCAGGAGCAAUGGCUUACGCCUGUAAUCCCAGCACUUUCGGAGGCUAGGCAGGCAGAUCACUUGAGGUCAGGAGUUUGAGACCAGCCUGGCCAAUAUGAUAAAAUCCCAUCUCUAUUAAAAAUAUAUAUAAAAAAAAAAAUUAGCCAGGUGUGGUGGUGCACACCUGUAGUCCCAGCUACUAGGGAGGCUAAGGCAGAAGAAUUGUUUGAACCCGGGAAGCGGAGGUUGCAGUGAGCCGAGAUUAUGCCAUUGCACUCCAGCCUGGGUGUCGCAGCAAGACACUGUCUCAAAAACAAAAACAAAAACAAAACAACAACAACAAAAAUCAGCAAAAUAUUCCUGUUGUCUAACCGACUAAUACUCUUGCUGUGUUUACCUCCAUUUCCCAUUCUGUCUUGAAAGAAAUGGAGAACAGCUAGUUACCAUAUUUUAAUAGGUGUAUUUCCCAGGAUGUUUUGUCUUAACCUCUCAAGUCUCUCUUUUCUGUAUUCUGAUUCAAUCCCCUCCGUAACAUAUAACUCUUUGUUUCAGGGAUUAUUUGAUCAGCCUGUUGGCCAGUGGUAUUAUGGCCACUGAAUUUUUUAAAAAUGCAAAAUGUACAUGUUUACUUAGUUGUUCUUACACUUUGCUCCAUGCCUUCCAACAAUUUCUUCUUUAGUUGUUUCUUUUCUUAUUUUGUGGAAACUUGAAAUUUAAUGAGGAAAUAAGGACAGCAAGUUAUGGUAAAAGAGCCCAUGAAUAUUUUGCCUGAGGAAAAACACUAACAUGGUUAAUCAGUGUCUUCAAAUCUCAAAGGGUCUCCUUCUACCCCACCAUAAUAAAUAAUUCUUUACCAUGGAUUAAGUUCAAAGAAUGAGGAAUAUAACUAUAAGGAAGUGUGAAUUAUAGUGUGUGUGUGGGUGUGUGUGUAUUCCCACCCAAGUGGAACAUUAAUGGCAUAACCUACCUUAGGAGGUUGUGGUGUCUCUGCCCUAGACACCUUGGCGCCGUGGACGAAGUACUCUAAAAACUUAGAAGAACCUAGUGUGAGUCUCAUCACUUUCAUUUACUAGCUACAUGACUUUGGGGAAGUUACUUUAUCACUCUGAGGCUCAAUUUCCCCAUCUGUAAAAUGGAGAUAGUAUACAUUUCAUAUAAUUUUAUGAGUUAGAUGGGAUCAUAUAUAUGAAUAUGCUUUGUAAAUUAUAAAUUAUUAUAAAUAGGUAAAUAACCUUUAUCUGAGAAAACAUUCUUCUGGAAUGGCUUGAGAGAUUUCAUGUGGGAUUAUAUAUGCUUCACUUCUGAAGAGGGUCCCAACAUCAGAUGUCCUACCUGGGCUAGCUCAUCUGCAAGCUCCAUGAGUCCUCUCUCGCACCUGCUGCAGUGAUUCUGCAACAAACAGAUCAUUCCCAGUCAGAGCAAUAGAAGGAGAAGGGGUCUUAUUCUGUUGCCCAGGCUGGAGUGCAGUGGUGCAAUCAUAACUCACUGCAGCCUUGAACUCUCAGGCUCAAGUGAUCCUCUCCCUUCAGCCUCUUGAGUAGCUGAGUCUGCAGGUAUGUGCCACCAUGCCCAGCUCCAAUAUGUUAUUUUAAUUGGUCUGGUAUGCAUCCUAGGGAUGGGGAUAUUUAAAAGCUCUCCAAGUGACCACAAUGUAAAGCCAAGGUUCAGAACUACUGCAUUACAUUCAUUUCACUCAGUAUAUUUAAUUUUGUUUCUAUCUUUCAUUCAACAAAUUUUAUUGAUUCAUAUUAACCCAGAAAAUUACCUACUUCUUUCUGGCUUUCAAAGUGAUUGCCAUAGAGUCUUGCAAAGUACUGUUGCAUAAUUAUUUUUAUUUUCUUUGUGGCUGUGAUUAUUUCACCUUUUAAAAUUUGUGUAUUUUUGCUCUCUUUCUACCACUUCAUUUUUAAUUAUUAGAUAGACAGUAGUUUGUCUAUUUUAUUGGCUUUUUUUUUUUUGAGACGGAGUUUCUCUCUUGUUGCCCAGGCUGGAGUGCAAUGGCGCGAUCUUGGCUCAUCGCAACCUCCGCCUCCAGGGUUCAAGCGAUUCUCCUGCCUCAGCCUCCUGAGUAGCUGGGAUUACAGGUAUGUGCCACCACACCCGGCUAAUUUUGUGUUUUUAGGAGAGAUGGGGUUUCUCCAUGUUGGUCAGGCUGGUCUCAAACUCCCAACCUCAGGUGAUCCGCCCACCUUGGCCUCCCAAAGUGCUGGGAUUACAGGUGUGAGCCACCAUGCCCGGCGUUUAUUGGCUUUUUCCUAGGACCAAUUCUUGAAUUCAUUUACUGAUUCUAUUCUAUUUCUGGUUUGUUUUUUUUAAUUUUUUUAUUUCCACAGGUUUUGGGGGAACAGGUGGUACUUGGUUACAUGAGUAAGUUCUUUAGUAGUGAUUUGUGAGAUUUUGAUGCACUCAUCACCUGAGCAGGAUACACUGCACUUAUUUGUAGUCUUUUAUACCUCACCCCCACCCACUCUUUCCUCUGAGUACCCUAAGUCUAUUGUAUCAUUCUUAUGCCUUUGCAUCCUCAUAGCUUAGCUCCCAUUUAUGACUCAGGACAUACAAUGUGUGGUUUUCCAUUCCUGAGUUACUUUACUUAGAAUAAUAGUCUCCAGUUCCAUCCAGGUUGCUAUGAAUGCCAUUAAUUCAAUCCUUUUUAUGACUGAGUAGUAUUCCAUUUUAUAUAUAUAUAUAUA